rnacentral:lncRNA from 1 species
CACGGAGGACUCCACGAGCCCUUUGAUGAUGGCAUCUCCUGCCUCGGAAACUGCUUUCAGAGCCGCUGGGAGCAGCCAGCAGCCGGUUAGCGACCGGGCAGCAGAAAACCGCACUUCGGAUUUCCAACCGGGAACGUCCAGCCCCGCGAGCCAGCCCCGGGCCUCGUCCCCGUGGACGCGGGGCGCCAGCGUCUCGCCAGGAGCCACGCGGCUCGCCGGGCCCUCCGUGGACCACCGGCUGCCGCCUCCUCCGGGAAGCGCUGGCCCAGCCAUUGGAAGCAGCUACCAGCCAUCCAACUUCUCAGCAGCAGAGGAGAGAAUUUCUCAUUUUCCUACCACCAGUACGUACGUUUCGACACCAUCCACCAGAGGUGGAGGAAGGAUGUUAAGGUCGCUACCAAGCAGCACCAGCCUGACCAAUGCAACGGAGAUUUCCACCUCCAGUACCGAAACGAUCCACCCUUUGGAUCAGACCCAGUCGUCUGGGACAUCUUUGGCAGCAGAGGCUGGUGGUGGUGCAGGUGCCACUGCACCGUUCACGGACCCGUUGCUCUCGGACUCUGCAUCUGCUUCGGGAAGCACUUCCAAAAGUGAGUUUUGAUAGCUAGUUCUAUAACUUGGAACAUUAUUUAAA